AUGUACACGGGCCAGUCCGUCCACUGCUGCCGUCGCGCUGUUGUCGGCAUCGGCAACGUGUUCCCGCUCGCCUCGCUGCCUGAGGGCGCCAUCGCCUGGGACGUCGAGCAGCACGUCGGCGACCGCGGUGCCCUCGCCCGCGCCUCGGGCGACUACGCCAUCGUCGUCAGCCACAACUCCGACAACGGCGAAGAAGGUGGUGCAGAGCGGCUAGCUGCAGGGCGAUGGUGGGGCAGGUGGCCGGCGGCGGGAGGAUGGAAAAGCCGCUGCUCAAGGCGGGAGUUCACUAGUUCAGGGUGCUGUAGGGCUGCCGGUGAUGCGCGGCGUGCUGCUAGGAGGACCACCGAAGCCCGCAGGCCAGGCUCGCCUCCGCCCCGCCCGGCGAUGACAACACCAUGGGCGCCCUCCUCUUAUCGGGCGUGGAGGACCAAGGGAGGCGCGGAUCCGCGGCGGCCCGUGCUUUGCCCCGUCCCCGACGUCGACGGCCUCCGCGAGCCGCCCGUCCUGCCGGUGGUGACGCGGCCGUACUCUGCAUGA
rnacentral:rRNA from 1 species